CAGUAGCCGCGGUAAUCCGUAGGGUGCAAGCGUUAAUCGGAAUUACUGGGCGUAAAGCGUGCGCAGGCGGUUCGCUAAGACAGAUGUGAAAUCCCCGGGCUUAACCUGGGAACUGCAUUUGUGACUGGCGGGCUAGAGUAUGGCAGAGGGGGGUAGAAUUCCACGUGUAGCAGUGAAAUGCGUAGAGAUGUGGAGGAAUACCGAUGGCGAAGGCAGCCCCCUGGGCCAAUACUGACGCUCAUGCACGAAAGCGUGGGGAGCAAACAGGAUUAGAUACCCCGGUAGUCCCUGUCUCUUAUAC
rnacentral:rRNA from 1 species